ACUUAAUACAAUGUAUUUCUCACAAAGGAAGAAUUUGAUCCCACAUGUGGGAUUAAACGGUCAAAAUACUUGGUAUUUCUAGACACGUGUUAAUUUCAUAUAAUGCAAUUCCAUACCAUUUAAUCCUGUGUUCUAAAUAGGCCUUUCGUGAAGAAGAAAAAUCUGUGGUACUGCCUUGCGGAAUAUGUAUUGAUUAGAAGAAUUGCAUUAAUCCUCUUUGUUUUUUGUUGUUUUUAAGUGUUUUUGGAAGAUUCUAAUAUCCUAAAAUUGCUUUUGGUAGAGUUGAAUGUGUUUGACUAGGGUGAUUUUGGAUUAGAAAGGUUCCUUACUAAUUCUGCCAGCAAUACCUCUCAAGAUCCAACCAGCUCAACUGGUAUCAAGGGAAAAAUUGGCUAUGCUCCUCCAGGUGUGAAGGAGCUUGAGGCUAAAUGGAUUGGACGGGUUGGUUUUUAUGUACCAUAUGAAAUGGCAGCAAUCACUUACCAAAGCACUAGCAGAAAAGGUGUUUUUGAACUUGUUGUACUCGCUAUGGAAUGUGUGGUGUAGUGAAUGAUUGCUUGCUUCAAUGGUACUUCAGCAAUGAACACUUCUUGCACUAAGGUUCUUCAUCUUCAUAUUAUCACUCCAUUGUUAAUUUCUGGUGCAAAGUCCACUUUCAGAUCAGCAAAUGGUCCCGUUAUUUUCAUCAAUAGAUUUCUGAUUUAUUUGUGAAAAAUUCCAUUGACAGAAUCACAUUACAGAUCAUGUUUGUAUAGAUUCUCAUUUACUGCAAUUAUAGUGAUUAGCUGGAUAUUUAUUUGGGUUUCUUUGCUGAUAUGGACUUGCUGAAUUUUUAUGAGUCCCAGAUUGAGAAAUCUGGGGUUGGAUUUUGAAGUAUCAUUUUCCUCGUGUUGAACUUCUCAAGGGUGGGAUGAUUCUGUUCUUAAAUCAUGAUGCUUUGGUACAUAGAUGCGAGAUGCAAGCUCUGUCCAUAAGAUGGGUCGAACUGUGAAGAUUGCCUUGGCUAAAUUUGUUGGCAAGGUUUCAUGAUAGAAAUGGCAAACUUAUGUAGGUGGCUAUUCUGUUUUGUUACUAUAUUAUGUUUAGUGGAUCUAUUUUUAUCUCAGGGCUGCAAAAUUGUUCCAACUCAUCUAUACAGACCAUGGGGACCAAUUGAUGCACAGGGAGCAGGGACGAGUAUUAGUUGAUUCAGAUAGGUGAGGGUAAACGGGCAAAUGCUCUGUUAUGGCUAACCAGAUCAGAAAUCUCCAUUUUGCACAUUACAAAUGCAAACAGAAUGUAAACAAAUUCCUUUCAAGUGGGACAUCCAUUGCUUGACAAAUUAGCUGGACUGACAGCUAUCUCUGUUGGUGCAAAUUAGCCGGACUGUCCAAAUCAUCUGACCAUGAAGCCAAAUAUCCAUGGUGGGGCAAAUCAGAUGGAUUAUUGCAUCAUCUUACCAUAAAGCCAUGUUCCUAACAGUCAAGACCUUCUACAUAAUUAAUUCAGAAGAAUUUUAAUAUUUUAUUGCUAGGCAAUGCGCUAGAAUUAUCAUUCUAUCAAAGUCUACAAAUCAUUCCAAUCUUGGCACUCUAAACAUUUUCGUUAGUGGACCAUCAUCAUAAGUUAAAACAAGGGGAUACAUGAUCCCACUUUUUUUUUUUCUUUUCCUUCUGUAUUUGCAGAUUCUCACAUAAGAAAACUAUGUUUGCAAGAAUGACAUUCUUGAUGUGCAGCUAUUGCAAGUGACAUGGCAAGGCUCGGACGUAUUACUGUGGCAUGGGGAUUAUAGGACCUGAUCUGUUGACAUCCUUGUAUGCCUCAUGUAUAGGCCUUAAAUUGCUUAACUUCUAACUGUAUUUGGCUGUGCCUAGAGGACUUGGUCUAUUUUGUGUUUGGAUUAUGCUUGCACUCGUGCUGAUUCUAACCCCACUUUCCUCAUUUAUGGCCUUCAAAGAAAGGUCAAUGGUCCAAUAUUGCCUUUUA